AGCAACUCCAACGCCGUACACCACAACGACCCGCUAUAAAUAACCGGCGCAGGCAACCGAGCCGAAGCCACACACGCACAACGCAAGAAACCGCAGGAAAAAUAAUACCAAGCCGACCAAUCAUGGCUCGCCCCCGCCUCCGGCUGCUCCUCCUCGUCGCCGCCGUCCUCCUCCUCCUCCACCCGGCCCUCUCCUCGGCGUCGGAGGGGCUGGAGGACCCCCUCAUCGAGCAGGUGGUCGGGGGCGACGCGGAGAACGAGCUGGAGCUCAACGCGGAGGCGCACUUCGCGACCUUCGUGCGGCGGUUCGGCAAGUCCUACAGGGAUGCCGACGAGCACGCGCACCGGCUCUCCGUGUUCAGGGCCAACCUCCGCCGCGCGCGCCGCCACCAGCGCCUCGACCCCUCCGCGGUGCACGGCAUCACCAAGUUCUCCGACCUCACCCCCGACGAGUUCCGGGAGCGCUUCCUCGGCCUCCGCAAGUCCCGCCGGAGCUUCCUCAAGGGGAUCUCCGGGUCGGCGCACGACGCGCCGGCCCUCCCCACCGACGGCCUCCCCACAGAGUUCGACUGGCGCGAGCACGGCGCGGUCGGCCCAGUCAAGGACCAGGGUUCGUGCGGGUCGUGCUGAUCCUUCAGUACGUCGGGGGCGCUGGAGGGUGCCAACUACCUCGCCACCGGGAAGCUGGAGGUGCUCAGCGAGCAGCAGCUGGUCGACUGCGACCACGAGUGUGACCCGUCAGAACCACGCGCAUGUGACGCGGGAUGCAAUGGUGGCUUGAUGACUACAGCUUUCAGCUAUCUCGCAAAAGCUGGUGGCUUAGAAACCGAGAAGGAUUACCCGUACACUGGGAAGAACAGUGCCUGCAAGUUUGACAAAUCCAAAAUUGCUGCUCAAGUUAAGAAUUUUAGUACUGUUGCUAUUGACGAAGAUCAGAUUGCUGCUAACCUUGUGAAACAUGGCCCACUUGCAAUUGGUAUCAAUGCAGUAUUCAUGCAAACGUACAUUGGUGGUGUCUCAUGCCCAUACAUCUGCGGAAGGCAUCUUGAUCAUGGUGUUCUCCUGGUUGGCUAUGGAUCAGCUGGUUACGCACCGCUCCGCUUCAAGGAGAAACCAUACUGGAUCAUAAAGAACUCAUGGGGCGAAAACUGGGGCGAGAGCGGGUACUACAAGAUCUGCAGGGGUCCGCAUGUCAAAAACAAGUGCGGUGUCGAUUCCAUGGUCUCCACGGUUACCGCCAUCCAUACCUCUAAGAAGGAAUAAGAUCUUCUAGUACUCUCGGUCUGGAUUGCCUAUAGACAUGCUUGUGUGCCAGGACUAGGUAUUCCAUGAUGGUUAUUCCAGUAUUGCUUUGCAAUUUGUAACCAGUAAAUAUGUGAAACUUCUCUUGAUUGCUGUAAUGUAUCUCUGGGUUGCUAUGUAUUGCUACGCAGUUCUUGGAACAUGGUAGCAGAUAUUUGUUGCCAUCAUUAAUGUAUAUAAUCUGGUGUUCUGGUUGAUCAUUGAAUAUGUUGUGCAAUGC
rnacentral:rRNA from 1 species